rnacentral:rRNA from 1 species
UACGUAGGGGGCAAGCGUUGUCCGGAAUCAUUGGGCGUAAAGCGCGUGUAGGCGGCCCGGUAAGUCCGCUGUGAAAGUCGGGGGCUCAACCCUCGAAUGCCGGUGGAUACUGUCGGGCUAGGGUGCGGAAGAGGCGAGUGGAAUUCCUGGUGUAGCGGUGAAAUGCGCAGAUAUCAGGAGGAACACCAAUUGCGAAGGCAGCUCGCUGGGACGUUACUGACGCUGAGACGCGAAAGCGUGGGGAGCAAACAGG